GAUCAUGGCUCAGAGUGAACGCUGGCGGCGUGCCUAAUACAUGCAAGUCGAACGGAGAUUAAGUAGCUUGCUAUUUAAUCUUAGUGGCGCACGGGUGAGUAAUAUAUAGCUAACUUGCCCAUUACUAAGGGACAACAGUUGGAAACGACUGCUAAUACCUUAUACUCCGUAUCUAUAUAAGUAGGUACGGGAAAGUUUUUCGGUAAUGGAUAGGGCUAUAUCGUAUCAGCUAGUUGGUGAGGUAACGG
rnacentral:rRNA from 1 species